ensembl:misc_RNA Metazoa_SRP Metazoan signal recognition particle RNA
GCUGGGCAUGGUGGUGCUUGCCUGUAAUCUCAGCUACUUGGGAGGCUGAGGCAGGAGAAUCACUUGAGCCUGGGAGGUGGAGAUUGCAGUGAGCUGAGAUCACGCCACUGUACUCCAGCCUGGGCAACAGAGCGAGAUUCUGUCUCAA